UGUCUUUCCCCUUAUUUUUUCAUUUCCUUUCAGGUUUGCAGAGCCCUAAGUUUUGAAACACUGUCUCUCUCUCUCUCAUAAAGGCGAGCGACGAGCGGCGAAUUUUGGUUUGGACGAGCGACCAGCAGGACCAUGAGUCUCGACAAGGGUCAGCUUCUCGAGACCGAGCAAAUGUUCCGUGACGCCGGUGAGCAGUGGCCUGUUAUUAUUCCCGAGGAGGAGAUCCGCCAAGCAGCCCCUGGUACUAAGGUAACAGUUUCACUCUCAAACCAGCCGUAUUUUCUCAUUCUUUUGAGGACCCAUUACUGUGAUUAUUGUGUGCUUGGCCCUUGAAAGGUCUACCAUAUAUCCCUCGAACUAUACUCAUUACAUCAGAAGCAUCAUUUUCCUUUUCUGAGAUACAUUUCUGAGACUCAUCUGAAAUUGAUUCACUAGCUUGGUCUUUUGAAUCAAUCACUUGACUGCUUCUAUCAGCCCUGGCUUUUUUUGUCGAAGCUUUCAAAACUUCAGUUUUGGUUUCUACAUCCCCAGCAACUGUAUGAGCAUCAUCACUAAUAGACAAGGAAAAAAUGAGAAAAAUAUAAGUAAUUAGGGCCAAUAACGACAAUAAUAAUUAAGUAAUUGUGGGAAUUUUCUUAUGCAAAAGAGAAAUAAACAAACUAAAUGGGACAAUUUUUUUUUCUUUUUUUGAUAAAUAAGCAAACUAAAUGGGGCAAUUGACACUCUACAUGUAUAAAGGCAACAAAUUGAAGGAAUUUUAAGCCUCCCAACAAAUCAAGAUAAAUGAAUGAGAAGGUCAAUAUUGUUUGGUAGGCCAUAAAAACAUGAUAACACAGUUCAUCUUUGUUGAUAUCAUACAAUUUUGACAUUGAUGACCCACAGAAGCUUGUUCUUUUUUUGGAUUCAAUUAUUUGGAUUCCCAACAGGUGAAAUUACUACUAAACCUUCGACAGUCUAAACCAGGGUAGUUCACUGUCAUGACAACUAGUUUCCAGAAUUAAUAGUUGUGCUGCAUCAUGCAUGCCAUUUAUGAUCAAAUCUUGUCAUAGUUGUGGCAUGGUUCCUACAAGUACAAUUAGUGAAACAUCUCAUGCAGCAACAGUCCAGAUUUUUUAGCUUCCCAAAUAUUACUCAGUUGGGUUGAAACACCAUAGGAAAUCACAGAAACACCAAAGAAGCCUAAUUCCUAUAGUCAGGUUCAAUGAUUCAUUCUCUUAUUUAGAUGUUCUUCAUAGCUUGCAAUCAUAGCUACACAAUUGUACAUUUGAACUCUUUGGUUUAGUUGAAUGGAUUCACCAUAGAUGCUUGUUUGGCUUAUUUAGUUACUUUUUCUUGGAUAGGCUCAGUAUUGUUUUGGGCAUAAUUCAUCUUUGUUUGUGCAUGAUUUGAUGGUUUGCUUCAAGAAAAGUUUCUUUAUAAUGGGGCUUUUGGAGUAAAACUAUGAUUUAUGAUCUCAAGAUUUAUAACUUGCAUAUGAAUUGUCUGAUAAGCCUUCUAUGUAUUUAAUUUGCAAUCUAAUUUCCUGAAUCUAGACUACCAAAAUUGCAAUUUAUGAUACAAGGAAAAUAAUCCUUGAACUCUGUUUCAUGCUUUUUGUUCAUAUGCUUUUGGACCAUAAAAUUUUCAUCAUUAAAAUUUUCAUCACUCUUGAUUCUUGUGUUCAUAUUCAACUAGUAGUGUCUUCACAUCAAAUCAAGCUGCUCGUCAUUAGUGAGUAUUCUGUGUUGUGUCACAUAACCUUGAGAACUGUUCUUAUUUUAUCUUUGUUUAUUGUUGCCUCAUAACUCUUGCAAACGCAUUCAUCAAUUUGUUUUUUUAUGCUACUGUUAUCAUCCUCAAGAUAGUUACCUCUCAUUCCUAUGAACAUCAUUGUUCAAGUUAUUUUCAUUUCUUUGCACAUUCUUCCUCUGACGCACAAAAGAUGUACUUCAGGCUGAACAGUGGUGUAAGCCUCUUGAGAUUGUUAACUUUUGAUGUCUGAUCUGCUUGAUUCAUCUCCUGGAAUCAUUUUGUACUAUGCAAGAAAGCGUGCAUCUGUUUUGUCAAUUUAGUAAAUGAAAGAUAAAUAGGGAUUUAACUAUAGUUUUCAUAACUUGAUGGAAUGAUUAGGUAAGAUUUCUAUGUAUAAUUUUUGUUACUUCAUGUAAUCUAUGUGAGUGCUAACAUAUAUGCAUUGGCAGCACAAUGAAAAGUCUUCAUCAGCUGGUUUAAUUGGCAAUGACAACACUGCAUCUGUGCUGAAAUCACUGCCAAAUUACAAAUAAGAGUGAUACACUUUAUGUGGAUGGAUUUUAUAUUGCAAGGAAUUGAUACAGGUCCCCAAACUUUCGAUGUCUAUAAAAUCAGCCACUAGCCAGUCUCUUUGAGAUGCCUAUCCUUGCAUAUCCUAUCUUAACUUCAUGCUUGAUUCUCUGCUGUACUGGUUUGGUGUUUAACCUUUUAUGGUUGAAUACAAAACAUCCUCAGUUACUUUACGAAUCAAAGUAAUGCAGAAUUCUACAGGGAGGAAGUAAUGACUAUUUUUAUUAAUUUAUUAUUUUAGUGGGACAAUUGAUCUGUUAUGAGCUCUUUUGCUCAUAUAUUUGAUACUCUUUUCUGUUUAUAACACUUCUGAAAUAUUACAGCUGGAAUUCCGCAUGUGAGAUGGUUUGGAGUGGAGGGAGACUACAAUGUUCUAGUGAUGGAUUUGCUUGGACCCAGUGUUGAAGAUUUGUUCAAUUUUUGGAGUAGGAAACUUUCUUUAAAGACUAUUCUUAUGCUUGCAGAUCAAAUGGUAACUGCAUUUGAUUUAAUGCAUACUAUUAUUGCAUUUAGAUAAUUAUAAGUCUAUCAACACUUGUACCUAGUAUUUAUUUCAGAUCAAUCGAGUUGAGUCUGUCCAUUCUAAAUCCUUUUUACAUCGGGAUAUCAAGCCAGACAAUUUUCUUAUGGGCUUGGCAAGGCGUGUAACCUAAGUUCCCCGUCAAAACUUCCAUCUUUGUGCUGGUUAAAAAUUUUUCCCCCAAUAUCUGUGUUUAUUAGUCCUUCCAUUUCUCUUUUUUUUUAGGUCUACAUCAUUGGCUUUGGUCUGGCUAAAAAAUAUAGAGACACUACGACCCACCAACACAUUCCUUACAGUCUUCACAAAGGUUGCUAGCCAUGGUUCUGAACAUUGGCCAUUUCGUCGCGAAUUUGCUAAUGGCUGGCAGAAGCAACAAAAGCACAACUUUCAUGUGAUUACAGUGAUUACCUUGCUCUUGUCCGAGCUUAUGAGGGCUGGAAAAAGCCUGAAAGAGACGUAGCUGGAUAUGAAUACUACUAGAAGAAUUUUCUUUCUGCUCAAUCAAUGAAAGCUAUUGAUGCUCUGCGAAGGGAGUUCUACUCUUCACUUAAGGAAUAUGUUUUAAAUUUUAAUGCUAGAUGGAUGUGAAUUGGAUGAUUAUAUGGAUUGCAAGGGGGUUUUUAAUUGAAGGAAUAUAUAGUUUGGAAUUACUUGUGGAAGAAAAUUUGUAAUAGUUGCUAACUUUAAUUAAACAGGUUUAGAAUUAAUGAUUUAUAUAUUUUGUUGAAUGGUCAUGAUUCAGGUGAAUUGUUGGUUUGAUUGAUUAUUGUAAGUUACAGAUUG